GGUUGAUCCUGCCAGUUAUGACGAUUUAGUUUAAAGAUUAAGCCAUGCAUGUGUAAGUAUAAGCAUUUAUACUGCGAGACUGCGAAUGGCUCAUUAAAUCAGUUAUAGUUUAUUUGAUAUUUUUAUUUUUUUUACUACUUGGAUAACUGUAGUAAUUCUAGAGCUAAUACAUGCAAAAUUAUGACUCGACUUUUGUGGGAGAGUUUGUAUUUAUUAGAUGAAAAACCAAUUUCCUCUGUAAAAGGAGGAAAAACCUUGGUGAUUCAUAGUAACUUUUUUCUUUAUGAAAAUG
rnacentral:rRNA from 1 species